UACGAAGGGGGCUAGCGUUGCUCGGAAUCACUGGGCGUAAAGGGCGCGUAGGCGGCUGAUUUAGUCGAGGGUGAAAGCCCGUGGCUCAACCACGGAAUGGCCUUCGAUACUGGUUGGCUUGAGACCGGAAGAGGACAGCGGAGCUGCGAGUGUAGAGGUGAAAUUCGUAGAUAUUCGCAAGAACACCAGUGGCGAAGGCGGCUGUCUGGUCCGGUUCUGACGCUGAGGCGCGAAAGCGUGGGGAGCAAACAGG
rnacentral:rRNA from 1 species